CGUGCCAGCAGCCGCGGUAAGACGAACCGUGCGAACGUUGUUCGGAAUCAUUGGGCUUAAAGGGCGCGUAGGCGGGACCAACAAGUCCGGGGUGAAAUACUCUAGCUCAACUAGAGAACUGCCCCGGAUACUGUGGGUCUCGAGGAAGGUAGGGGCAUGCGGAACGGGUGGUGGAGCGGUGAAAUGCGUUGAUAUCACUCGGAACUCCGGUGGCGAAGGCGGCGUGCUGGACCUUUUCUGACGCUGAGGCGCGAAAGCCAGGGGAGCGAACGGGAUUAGAUACCCCGGUAGUCCUGGCCCUAAACGUUGAGAACUAGGUAGUAGACUAGACAUGGGGUUUACUGCCGAAGCUAAAGUGCUAAGUUCUCCGCCUGGGGAGUAUGGUCGCAAGGCUGAAACUCAAAGAAAUUGACGGGGGCUCACACAAGCGGUGGAGCAUGUGGC
rnacentral:rRNA from 1 species